AACAGGAUUAGAUACCCUGGUAGUCCACGCCGUAAACGAUGUCUACUAGAUGUUCGUGGUCUUGUACCGUGAGUAUCGCAGCUAACGCAUUAAGUAGACCGCCUGGGGAGUACGGUCGCAAGAUUAAAACUCAAAUGAAUUGACGGGGGCCCGCACAAGCGGUGGAGCAUGUGGUUUAAUUCGACGCAACGCGAAGAACCUUACCUACUCUUGACAUCUACAGAAGAACGCAGAGAUGUGUUUGUGCCUUCGGGAACUGUAAGACAGGUGCUGCAUGGCUGUCGUCAGCUCGUGUUGUGAAAUGUUGGGUUAAGUCCCGCAACGAGCGCAACCCUUAUCCUUAGUUGCCAGCGAUUCGGUCGGGAACUCUAGGGAGACUGCCGGUGAUAAACCGGAGGAAGGUGGGGACGACGUCAAGUCAUCAUGGCCCUUACGAGUAGGGCUACACACGUGCUACAAUGGUAUGUACAGAGGGAGGCAAGCUGGCGACAGUGAGCGGAUCUCUUAAAGCAUAUCGUAGUUCCGGAUUGGAGUCUGCACUCGACUCCCAUGAAGUCGGAAUCGCUAGUAAUCGCAAAAUCAGAAUGUUGCGGUGAAUACGUUCCCGGGCCUUUGUACACAACCGCCCGUUCACACCAUGGGAGUGGGUUGCAAAAAGAAGUAGGUAAGCUUAAUCCUUUCGGGAGGGCGCCUUACCACUUU
rnacentral:rRNA from 1 species